UAAAAAAAUGACAGAGACGCAAUUCACGGCACAAAUAGUUUACAAAAUGUUUAGAUAUAGGCUAUAAAAAUGGAUUUUAUCAAAGAAAACGGCACUUUAUUUGAUCAAUGGGAUACUCAGGAAGAGAAAUAAGAGCAAGAUAUCAGAAUGAGAAGUGGUGAUUUACAGAGGUCACCACGACCUAAGAAGACAUAGACAAGUGGAGACAGCAUUUCAUUGCAGAUCAAUAUGAAGCAGAGUUUUCCAACUGAGUACCACUGCCUCUGAACCAGCUGACUUCCACAUGCUUCCUGUUAUGUUCACACACUCGUAUUGGUCGCCAUCCUCUUCAGCCUACAGGAAACCAGAUCAGAGAUACCAUCAACAACAGCAACACAUAUUUUGCCAACAUACAGCCAAGAAGGAUAACGGGCUCCGUAUGGAUCCUGAACAACUUCGUUGGAGCAGAUGACACAUCCGAUAACACAGAUGCAAUUCUCCCGUUCUGCUCCAACGAGACCGACCCUGCAGAAUCAGGAACGGUGGAUGAAAAAAGUCACGCCCCCCACCCCUAAUUUGUCAGAACAGCCCUUGCCAAAAAAGCCAAGACUCCUCCCCGGCGUAUAACGGCACAGAAGACCACACACAUCUAGAGCACGCGGAGGAUUCCAGCUCACCGAACAUUCCCAAUGGAACAACCAAAACGGAAGAUUUCACAGUUUUAAAUGACAUUUCAGAGGCAGAUGACCGGCUAUUACGGGAUGCGGCCAACCUUCUUGAUUCCGCCAAUUCUUUGGUGGCAACAUCCGGAUCUGAAAUAGAACAAGCUAGGUUUUUCACAGCCUUUUCCAGGGCUCUAAAAUCCCAAAAUGUAUUGCCACACAAACAAAUGGGGGUUUUACUUGAGCGACAUUACAGAGAGGAUCAUUCUGGCAUAGAACAAUUCCACGUAUGUUAAACAGCAAUCCAAUUAAAAAACGCAAAUACAGGCGCUAAAAUCAUAUAUUUAACACGGACCAUUCCAGAAUAACCCAAGAACGCACAUCAUUAAUUAUCCAAAUGGCAGAGCCAACAGACCUAGUUGAGACAGUUGAAAGCCUCUUAUCACAGAUACCGCCUGAACUCCUAGAAAUUAUUAAUCAUAUGAACAAGGCGUGGGUAACAGACAUAAUACCGAUAGAUGAAAGUAUAUUAUCACAGAUUCCAGCCAAACUCCUAGAAAAUAUUAAACGUAUGAAAGAGUCAGGGAUGCCCGAUGAAAACCUGUUAUCACAGAUUCCCGAAUCCCUCAUAUCGCUAAUUAAUCAGAUGAACGACAUCUUCGGGCAUCCCCCCCCCCCAAACCAACCGUUAAUGCCCAUGUCAGAAGAGUCUGAAACGCAAUACAAUGUGUUUUGGGGGAAUUGGAAAAUUGUCUAAUAAAUCAGGAGGGAGAUGGUAUUGAUUGAAGUAUUCGGGUUGUGUACCAAAAUAAAUUAAACAAUACAGAGAUUCGACAGUUUUCAAUUUCACAUGGGUGAAUCAGAAUCUUGACUAUGCUGUGUUGUACGUAAUGAUGUUGGAUACUCUGACCGAACUGUUAGAUAGGGCAAGAGAUUAUGGCGAACCACAUGAUGUCUUACAGUUGGAAAUUUGUGGAGAUAGCCUGCAUAACACUGUAUCUCUUAUUUUACCCAAUGACAAAGUAGAUCUUGAACAAUUUAUCGCCCUGCUAGAAAGACUUGUUCAGUCAAAUAUUGGACCCUCGAGCUUGUAGUGCAAAUAAUAUGUCAACCCCAGGGUGGUGGGGGUCAGAGAAGGAAGCUAGAUAGCCUAAUGCAAUCAGAAAUAAUAAGCAAUAAAAGGGCCUACCUCAUAAACUCGUGUCGUUAUAACUGUUAAUUAUG